CCUACGGGUGGCAGCAGUGGGGAAUAUUGGACAAUGGGGGCAACCCUGAUCCAGCCAUGCCGCGUGUGUGAAGAAGGCCCUCGGGUUGUAAAGCACUUUCAGUGAGGAAGAACGCCUGGUGGUUAAUACCCAUCAGGAAAGACAUCACUCACAGAAGAAGCACCGGCUAACUCCGUGCCAGCAGCCGCGGUAAUACGGAGGGUGCGAGCGUUAAUCGGAAUUACUGGGCGUAAAGCGCGCGUAGGUGGCUUGAUAAGCCGGUUGUGAAAGCCCCGGGCUCAACCUGGGAACGGCAUCCGGAACUGUCAAGCUAGAGUGCAGGAGAGGAAGGUAGAAUUCCCGGUGUAGCGGUGAAAUGCGUAGAGAUCGGGAGGAAUACCAGUGGCGAAGGCGGCCUUCUGGACUGACACUGACACUGAGGUGCGAAAGCGUGGGUAGCACACAGGAUUAGAUACCCUGGUAGUC
rnacentral:rRNA from 1 species